rnacentral:misc_RNA from 1 species
GAUGAAGAACGCAGCGAAAUGCGAUACGUAAUGUGAAUUGCAGAAUUCAGUGAAUCAUCGAAUCUUUGAACGCACAUUGCGCCCGCCAGCACUCUGGCGGGCAUGCCUGUUCGAGCGUCAUUUCAACCAUCAAGCCCCAGGCUUGUGUUGGAGCCCUGCGGCUGCCGCAGCCCCCUAAAAGCAGUGGCGGGCUCGCUAUCACACCGAGUGCAGUAGAUUUCUCUUCGCUCAGGGCGUGUGGCGGGUUCCGGCCGUGAAACCCCCUACUCUUUAAGGUUGACCUCGGAUCAGGUAGGAAUACCCGCUGAACUUAAGCAUAUCAAUAAGCGGAGGA